rnacentral:lncRNA from 1 species
CCCGCCGCAAGUGGAUAAUAUUAAUAGUGUAAAAAUAUGCAAGUGUUCGGUAAACAGGAAGUUGUCGAGUGAUGAAUCUGAAAACGCAUCACACGGUAUAGCUGACUUAUAUAAAUCCUGAAACCAAAUUUCAGAAAUCCUUGUAUUGUAGUUCCUGAGAAAAAUGUGACGAAAAUUUUCAACUUGGCUAUCAUGUGUAAAAUCAGACAAGUGUUUGGUAAACAGGAAGUUGUCAAGUGAUGAAUCUGAAAACGCAUCACACGGUAUUGCUGACAUAUAUAAAUGUUGAUACCAAAUUACAGAAAGGGUGGAUGUGUAGUUCCUGAGAAAAAUGUGACGAAAGUUUCAUGGGACGGACUGACUGACGGACUGAUGGACGGACGGACUGAUGGACGGACUGACGGACGGACUGACAGACAGAGGUAAAACAGUAUACCCCCCCUUUUUUAAAGCGGGGGUAUAAUAAAGGUAAUGAGUUUACAGAAUGUGGCAGACAGAGGCAGGUCGACAGCAGACAACAUGGGCAACAAAGAAAUGGCAAUAGCUAACAUUGAUUUUUUUUAUUGAUUUUUUUUUUAUUUUAAUGCUUUUUGGCUAUUUCGAGGAGUCCAGUUUUUAUUGAUGGAGGAAGCAUGGGUGCCCCGAGAAAACCAAGUCUGUGAGGCUUGAUAGGAAAACUGACAAUCCUAGUCAAUUAAGAUUGGAGUCAAGUGCACCUGCAUGAGUGGGGUUCAAACUCACAGCCUCAGUGUUGACUGUCUAGUGAUUACAGUAACAACUACUUAGACUACUACCACCUAGGCUAACAAGGAUUAUGUCAAGCAAGGAAACAAAAUUUGAUAACUAGGACAUACUAAA